rnacentral:rRNA from 1 species
GUGGGGAAUCUUGCGCAAUGGGCGAAAGCCUGACGCAGCCAUGCCGCGUGAAUGAUGAAGGUCUUAGGAUUGUAAAAUUCUUUCACCGGGGACGAUAAUGACGGUACCCGGAGAAGAAGCUCCGGCUAACGUCGUGCCAGCAGCCGCGGUAAUACGAAGGGGGCUAGCGUUGCUCGGAAUUACUGGGCGUAAAGGGCGCGUAGGCGGACAGCUUAGUCAGAGGUGAAAGCCCAGGGCUCAACCUUGGAAUUGCCUUUGAUACUGGCUGUCUUGAGUUUGGGAGAGGUGAGUGGAACUCCGAGUGUAGAGGUGAAAUUCGUAGAUAUUCGGAAGAACACCAGUGGCGAAGGCGACUCACUGGCCCAAUACUGACGCUGAGGCGCGAAAGCGUGGGGAGCAAACAGGAUUAGAAACCCUUGUAGUCC